UACGAAGGGGGCUAGCGUUGCUCGGAAUUACUGGGCGUAAAGGGCGCGUAGGCGGACAGUUUAGUCAGAGGGGAAAGCCCAGGGCUCAACCUUGGAAUUGCCUUUGAUACUGGCUGUCUUGAGUUCGGGAGAGGUGAGUGGAAUGCCGAGUGUAGAGGUGAAAUUCGUAGAUAUUCGGCGGAACACCAGUGGCGAAGGCGACUCACUGGCCCGAUACUGACGCUGAGGCGCGAAAGCGUGGGGAGCAAACAGG
rnacentral:rRNA from 1 species